GAUGCUUUCUCUCUGAGUGUAGAGCGUGGGUCUAAUAAGCCCAAGGUCGCAGGUUCGACCCCUGCUGGCGGCA
rnacentral:tRNA from 1 species